UAAUGAUCCAGUGAUGAAUAAUGCAAUAUGAGAAGCUACCCACAGCCCUGGCUUUCAAGUUUGUUCCAGUCAUCACUGUUUUCCAACCAGCAGAAAAGAAACAGAAAGGACAUCUAAUGUGGCACCACUUCUACUCACAUUUCAUUGGAUCAGACUUUACCACUUGGCCACAACUUGCUUCAAGAUGGGACCCCGCCUGGCCUUCUAAGACCCACAAGAAUCAGAAACAGAUGAGGAAUCAUGCCCUAUUCUCACACAUGAGAACCACUGACCCACUGAAAUCUCAUAAGACUCUGGAAAUAAAAGAAAAGUCAACCUGCUCUUACAACAAAUCAUAAUCAUUGAAUGAUUAUGUAAAUGAUGAGAACAAGAAUCAGAAAAGCCUACUUUGGCUGCUGAGGACGCAGAAUCCAAAGAAAUGGAAUCCAAAGGAAGAAUCCAAAGAAAUGUUGGCACACGGAGCUCAUGACCCACUUCUGAACUGAGCAGGAGCUGCACACAUCCCCAAACUCACACGUAGACCUACCUACCCACAGUGAAAAGGCGAACACACCAGAUCACCUUAAGUCGUCAUCGAUCUUGACAGCAAGUGUUCCUGGACGCAGGGAGCUCUAGGGCUCCAUGGGCACGGCCUAAGACUGUUCCGAUCCAAGCACACAGCACAAGGGGAGACUCUAACAAGCUUCCAAGAGUGCUCUGCUAUCGGCAUUUUUCCGAGCUGUGCAACGAAGAGACAAAUUUUAAAUGAAUAUUGUAUAAGUAACUGAUCAUCACCCCCGGCACUCCCUUCUUCCUCUCAGCUAAAGAAUCCCAGAAUUUCAGCUAAGUAUAUGGCUCUUAGAAAUAGACUGAGGUUCUCCUCCCUGGUGCAAAGAGACAAGGACAGCAGCAUGGGGUUGCUCCGUGUGGAAAUCCACAGACCAGGCCAGGCUGGAAAGUGUGGAUGACACUCAGAAGAGAGGCAGCUUUAGAAAGGAUGGUGGCCGUGAGAAGUCCCCGUAAGGAUUAACACGAUGGGAAUUGUUCACCUUUCCCUUUAAAAAAGUUCCAUAUUAACAAAUUCUCAGCUCUAAAUCCUUUGGAAAUGUCUUGAAAGGAAUUUAUCUGGGUUCGCUGUUCAUGCAUUUCACAGGUAUUUGUAGAUUUACCAUUUUAGCAAACAAACCCAAACAUCCCUGCCCUCAGCUCUCUCGUAGAGGCAAAUUCCAGGACAGAGAAGUAAGCAAACCUCUCUGCACUGGGGCUCCCAGGAAUCAGAUUCAAGCAAGGCAAGCACUGUCUCUGGUGGGUGUGAAGCUUGGGGAGUUUUCAGGCUAUAAGACGAGUGAAAACACGCUUGAGCUGCCGCCCAAGAGUCAAGUAUUUACCUGUUGAAGCCCAACAACUUCAGGCCCGUGCAGAUACCCUGUGCCACCUGAUGGAGUUGUAAUGGAUUCCAAGGCCUUGCAACCGCCACCCCAGAUCAGUCUAAAAUGGAAAUCUCUGUCAUAUGGCAUGUAAGGGGACCUGAGAAAUCUGAGACGUUGUUUAGAUCAUCCCCUAAUUUGAUAAAUGUGGAAGUGGAGCCUGGAAAACCAAGGGGUUUGUCUAAGGUCACCAAGUAGUGGCCGUGUUAUGCUCUUGGCUUUAUCAAAGCUCAAGGUACUGGGCAUAUCAGAAGAAUUGGCCGGGCUGUGGGUAGGGGAAAAGCCAGGAGGAAUGGGGGAGAUGAGGAGGUGGGAGGGGUACCUCCCAGGUUUGGGUCUCUCCAAAAAAGCCAGGGAACAUGCCCACAAUGCUGGGCAGGAACAGGGUGUCUUUGGCAACCACAGAGCAAUGUUGGUCCAGCAGGAGGUCAGCGGUGCAAAGAAAUGUCUGUUACCCUCUGAUUCAGUCCAUUUAAAAAACCCAAAGGAGCAGAAUCUUCACAGAUUUUGGAUUCUCACUAGUCUGUAAAGGGAAAAGACCCACAGAGACUGUUGCAUAAUUGCGUGACUUUAAAUGGUCAAGCCAGUCAUUUAAAUUUCAAAUCCAUUGACUUCCCCUUCCUGUCUCUGUCUCCAGUAUUAGCCAGUCUUUUCUUUUAUCCAAAUAUGCAAAAACGGAAGACUCUUUUCUCAGUGUCUGGUACAUGGUAUACAUUUAAUACAAAAACCGUUAACUUGAAUCAAAAAUUCGGAAUGAAUUAUCGCACAGAUUCACACUCUGUUCAGAAAUUUGUCUUUUCAGGCCUCCUCAGCGCUGGAAACCACGUAAAUCGAGAGGUGGAGUCAGGAGGUGGGAGGCAUCCUGGGCACUUAUUUAAGAAGGACGCUUCUCGGGCAUCUGGGUGGCUCAGUCGGUUAAGCCACCGACUCUGGAUUUCGGCUCCAGUCAUGGUCUCAGGGUCGCGGGAUCAAGCCUCAUGUUGGGCUCUGCACU